rnacentral:lncRNA from 1 species
UGUUAAUAGUGCUGGUAAGAUGAUAUUUCACUUCUAUUCAAUAUAAACUAGUAGUAGGCUAUGUCUCUCACAGAUGUCUCCCUAUUCUCUCGACGUCUCAUCUGACAGUGUGCUCCUGGAAGUCCCCUCAUGUAAUGACUGGCCUCCUCACCUUCCUCCCGUGCCCCUACUGUGACCUGCAUAAACCCACCAGUGGUUCUCCAUGGGCUGCGGGAUGAGCUGGGCUUUGCUCCACCCAGCAGUCAGCUGAAGAAUGGUCCAACACGUCCUGCCUUCUGUUCUGCUGCUUUUCCCUCAUUCCCUCGUGAGUGAUCCCAAUCAGGUCCCAUCUUUCUGCUUCGGACUCUCAUCUCCUAAAUCUCAUUAGAUCGUUGCGUAUCCAUGAUAACUAAAGCCACAAUGACGAGAGAUGGACAGCUUCAUAAGAUGCAUUUUUAUUUACUUUCCUAUUCCAAAGGACAUAUCUCCUCCUGUAUUAUUAUCCAUUAAAAUCAAAGUGUGUGAAUUUUUCCAAUCAUGUGUUCAAUGUCUUUGAUUUCACACAAAAUUGUAAUCAAUUUUAAAAGUUCUGAUUUAGCAAAUACUCUUGAGACUGGAAGUAUAGAGAAAAGGGCUUAUAACCCCAAUAUAAAUUAGAGCUCCAUGUGGUCUAGUCUGUGUAGAGUGUUACAUUUGAAAAUACACAAAGGUCAGAUUGUAGCCCAUCUUUCAAGAAUUUGCAAGGGAGAGAGGAGUACGUUUUUAAUAUGCUGUGAACCCCUUAACUAUCCACUCUUCACUGCUGCAGCUCUCGGGACCCUCCACACCAAUGGCAAUUAUUUUCCUUUCUCCCCUGCCAUCCUAAAGCUCUCCAUCUCCCACUCUCCUUUCUCUCUCUGAAGUCUGCAGAUAAUUUCUUCCUAUGCUGUAGGCCUUUUUUGUCCCUUUACUUCUGUGCCUGUCGUCCCCACUGCUUGGCCUGGCUUCCUGGAUUUCUGUUCUGCCUACUCAGAUGGCUGGACCCACCCUUGCAAGGAAAAGGAAGGAGUCCCCAAGAAAAAAUUCAAUUUUCUCGCUUGGCCUUUCUCAUGGGAACUCUUUAGAGGACUUUCUAUAAAUUCUCUGUUUCUCCAGAUACAUUUAUAAAUAAGCCUUUUGGGUUUUAUUGUUAUAGAUUAAAGUAUAAAUUAGAAAAUUAUAUACAUGUUAUUUAUGCACAUGUUCAUUUAUUUAAAGGGCCUUAUCUGAAUAAUUAUUUUGUUUGAUCUCACAUUUCAAGUUUCUUGAGAAUAUGCUUUUCCCCCUGUAAAUUCACAUUGCACACAGUAUUAGGUUUCUCAUGAUAUAAUGGAUGUUUCAGAAACAUGGUCGAUCAAUUUACCAAUAGGGAACUCAGCUCUGCAGUUUUAUGAAAGAGUAUUUUCUAUUUUCUUUGAAUCCUUACAAAAGAACACAAAGUAACUAAGUCAGAUUUUAUACAAGAAAUUCUAUUGACAUAAAUUUCUAUAGACAAUGGAUUUUCCCACAUUACUGUAUAAAACUUUGUUGUUUCAUUCUGGUUGCUUCCUUAGAUGGUCAUCUGAAAAUGAUUAUGUGUUUAAUGAAUCUAAGUGUUUAUUCUCAAGAGUCACAGAAAAAAAAUAUCUGUCAGAAAUGCUGCAGUAAAUGCAUUUUUCAUAAUGUAAAUAAGAUAAAAAUGUAGCCUUCACUUUUUAGUACUCUGUGCUGAACUUCAAACUGAAACAUAUUUCAGAACUGGAUCAUGUUCAGAAAGGGUCAUAUUCUUCUAUUGAAGUUUUGUGAAUUUCUGUUAUGUUUCCAGAUUUAAGCUGCUUAUUAUUAAUACUAAAACAAAAUGGUUCUUCAGGAACUUGGGAAAUAAACAGCCUCGUUUAGAGAGCACUUUGGCCUGGAUGUGGUCCAUGAACUUAUGGCUGUGAAGCCUUUUCUUGUGCUUGAGAUCUUGAAGAUUCUUUCAAGAGAGACUGUUUGGAUUGUAUAUCCCAUGAUGUGUUUGCCUCUUGCAAAGUUCGAUUUGAAGUAGCGGGGACGAGACUGUGAACAAAGCCCCAGGAAUCAGAACUGGAAAGAAUCUCCACAGGUCCCCUUUCUUAGCCACUGCAUCCAAGGAGGAGAAUCUGCCACUCUUUUGAGGAAGGCGGCCGAUGAUCCUAUUUUUGUGAGACAUCCAAGAGCGGGAGUCCUGAUUGUGCCAAAGUGACUGUUGUAGAAGAAAGAAUCCAACAUUCUUGUUUGCCUGUCAUGUUUUAAAGCUUAUGAAAUGUGAGCAGUGAUGAGAGAGAUAUCCAUUCUCUUUUUGGGGGCACUUACUAGUGUGUGGGAAUUGCUUAUGACAUUUAAAU